GUGUCAGCCGCCGCGGUAAUACGUAGGGUCCGAGCGUUGUCCGGAAUUACUGGGCGUAAAGCGUGCGCAGGCGGUGAUGUAAGACAGUUGUGAAAUCCCCGGGCUCAACCUGGGAACUGCAUCUGUGACUGCAUCGCUGGAGUGCGGCAGAGGGGGAUGGAAUUCCGCGUGUAGCAGCGAAAUGCGUAGAUAUGCGGAGGAACACCGAUGGCGAAGGCAAUCCCCUGGGCCUGCACUGACGCUCAUGCACGAAAGCGUGGGGAGCAAACAGGAUUAGAUACCCUGGUAGUCCACGCCCUAAACGAUGUCAACUGGUUGUUGGGUUUUUAUUAACUCAGUAACGAAGCUAACGCGUGAAGUUGACCGCCUGGGGAGUACGGCCGCAAGGUUGAAACUCAAAGAAAUUGACGG
rnacentral:rRNA from 1 species